rnacentral:tRNA from 1 species
AAAAUAGAAAAAAAAAUUUGCUAAAUUUUUAAAGUAUUUGUUAUCAUAUAUACCUAUUUUG